UACGGGGGGGGCAAGCGUUGCUCGGAAUCACUGGGCGUAAAGGGUGCGUAGGCGGCUUGGUAAGUUGGGUGUGAAAGCCCCGGGCUCAGCCCGGGAAGGGCACUCGAAACUGCCGAGCUGGAGUGCCGGAGGGGAGAGUGGAAUUCCUGGUGUAGCGGUGAAAUGCGUAGAUAUCAGGAGGAAUACCGGUGGCGAAAGCGACUCUCUGGACGGCAACUGACGCUGAGGCACGAAAGCGUGGGGAGCAAACAGG
rnacentral:rRNA from 1 species